rnacentral:tRNA from 1 species
AGGCCGUCGGCUCAGCUGGUUGGAGCAGCGGACUUUUAAUCCGUUGAUCAAUCGUCCGAAUCCAGUACGGCCCAC